UACGAAGGGGGCUAGCGUUGCUCGGAAUCACUGGGCGUAAAGGGUGCGUAGGCGGGUCUUUAAGUCAGGGGUGAAAUCCUGGAGCUCAACUCCAGAACUGCCUUUGAUACUGAAGAUCUUGAGUUCGGGAGAGGUGAGUGGAACUGCGAGUGUAGAGGUGAAAUUCGUAGAUAUUCGGAAGAACACCAGUGGCGAAGGCGACUCACUGGACAUGUAUUGACGCUGAGGAGCGAAAGCGUGGGGAGCGAACAGG
rnacentral:rRNA from 1 species